rnacentral:rRNA from 1 species
GUGUAAAUCAGUUUAAUUUGAAUUUAAAUUAAUUAUUUUUAAAAUAGGUUUAAAAAAAAUAUUUUUAUAUUUUAGUAUUAUUAAGAAAAAAUUAAUGUAAUUAUAAUUUAUUAGUAUAGUGAUAGAAAUUUAAUUUAAAAUUAAUAAAGAAAAGUUUAUUUUUUGUACCUUGUGUAUCAGGGUUUAUUAAUUAAAUUUUAUUAAUAAAAAUAAAUUUCUCGAUUUUAAAAGAGUGAAUUAUUUAUUAAUUUUAUUGUAAAAUAACUAUUUAAAAUAAAUAAUUGGUAAUGAAACGUUAUUCGUUUUUAAAUAUAUCUAGUUUUUAAAGAAAAAAAUUCAAUUUUAUUUAUAUAAAUAUUUUAAUUAUUUUAAAAAUAAAAAUUUUGUAUAAAUUAUAUUAUUUGGGAUAAGCUAGAUAAUAAAAAGUUAUAAAUUAAUCAUUAAUUUAGUAUUAAAAAUGUAGAAUUAGAAAUUUUCAUCAUUUAAUUUGUUAUAAUUAAUUUAUUGAUUAUAAAAAUUUAUAUUAAUUUUAAGUUUUUUAUUUAAAUAUUAAAUAAAAUAGUUUUAUUUAAGUAAUUAUGAUAAAAUUAGUAUAAUAUUAUGUAAUUUUGUAUUUAUAAAUUAAAUGUUAUAAAAAGGAAUUCGGCAAAUAUAUUUUUCGCCUGUUUAUUAAAAACAUGUCUUUUUGAUUUUAAUUUAAAGUCUAGCCUGCCCAAUGAGUAGUUGAAUGGCCGCAGUAUUUUGACUGUGCAAAGGUAGCAUAAUCAUUAGUUUCUUAAUUAGAAACUGGUAUGAAAGGUUGGACGAGAAAAUAACUGUCUCUUUAUAAAUUUUUUAGAAUUUUAUUUUUAAGUUAAAAAGCUUAAAUUUAUUUAAAAGACGAGAAGACCCUAUAGAGUUUUAUAUAAUUUUAUUUAAUUAUAAAUAUAGAAUUAUUAAAAUUUUAUUUGAAAUUAUAUUUGAUUGGGGUGAUUAAAAAAUUUAAAUAACUUUUUUUAUAUAAAAACAUUAAUUUAUGAAUUAUUGAGCCAUAAUAUAUUAUGAUUAAAAGAUUAAAUUACCUUAGGGAUAACAGCGUAAUUUCUUUUUAGAGUUCAAAUCGAUAAAGAAGUUUGCGACCUCGAUGUUGGAUUAAAAUUUAAUUUUGGUGUAGAAGCUUGAAUAUUAGGUCUGUUCGACCUUUAAAAUUUUACAUGAUCUGAGUUUAAACCGGUGUAAGCCAGGUUGGUUUCUAUCUUUAAAUUAUUAAAAUAUUUUAGUACGAAAGGACCAAAUAUUAUUAUUAAAUAUUUAAAUUUGAACAUUAUUAUUAUUUUGGCAGAUUAGUGCAUUAAAUUUAGAAUUUAAUUAUGUAAUUUAAUAUUACAA